CCCUUAGACGUUCUGGGCCGCACGCGCGCUACACUGACCAGUGCAACAAGCAUCCGUCCUUGGCCGACAGGCUCGGGCAAUCUUUGAACGCUGGUCGUGAUGGGGAUAGACUUUUGCAACUUUUGGUCUUCAACGAGGAAUUCCUAGUAAACGCAAGUCAUCAACUUGCAUUGAUUACGUCCCUGCCCUUUGUACACACCGCCCGUCGCACCUACCGAUUGAAUGGUCCGGUGAAGCCUCCGGAUUGGCGCGCACCUCGGUGCCGCCGAGAAGUUGGCUAAACCUUACCAUUUAGAGGAAGGUGAAGUCGUAACA
rnacentral:rRNA from 1 species